rnacentral:rRNA from 1 species
AGUGAACGCUGGCGGUAGGCCUAACACAUGCAAGUCGAACGGCAGCACAGUAAGAGCUUGCUCUUACGGGUGGCGAGUGGCGGACGGGUGAGGAAUACAUCGGAAUCUACUUUUUCGUGGGGGAUAACGUAGGGAAACUUACGCUAAUACCGCAUACGACCUACGGGUGAAAGCAGGGGAUCUUCGGACCUUGCGCGAUUGAAUGAGCCGAUGUCGGAUUAGCUAGUUGGCGGGGUAAAGGCCCACCAAGGCGACGAUCCGUAGCUGGUCUGAGAGGAUGAUCAGCCACACUGGAACUGAGACACGGUCCAGACUCCUACGGGAGGCAGCAGUGGGGAAUAUUGGACAAUGGGCGCAAUCCUGAUCCAGCCAUACCGCGUGGGUGAAGCAGGCCUUCGGGUUGUAAAGCCCUUUUGUUGGGAAAGAAAAGCAGCAGGUUAAUACCCCGCUGUUCUGACGGUACCCAAAGAAUAAGCACCGGCUAACUUCGUG